CCCAUUUUUGACUGUAGCUUUUGUUCUGACCCCACUUGUACGCAAUGUAAUUUGCAGCCAUGAUGCUACAUUGCCAAUAUUUUAGAAAACUGUAAUUUGCUGCCAUGAUGUUACGCACGUGCAGGUCUAUGGUAGUGGUACGAAUUUGGGGGUACAUCUCCUCGCACUCAGGUGGAAGAAAUUCCUCGCCCUCAAGUCCAACUAAUUCAGGACCUGCAUCUCUGAUAUACCGUGGUGAGUCAUGCUUACUCUCGAUCUCCCCAUUACUUUCCAUUCCAUUUCUUGGAUGAAAGGAAUGCUGGUUUAAUUUAACAUGUUGUUCAAACUCAGAAGCACUUGAUGUGCUCUUGCUGAUAUAUACAAGAAAUACCGGACCUUGAUGAAAAUCAUAGUACACUUCAUUCACAAUUUAAAUUCUUAGCCUAUCUAUCAUCAUGUCCAGGUUGGUUCCUUCCUCGAUGCCUUCUCUCUUGACAAUCGAUGAAAUACACAACUAGCUUGCACAUAUUUAAGGAGCACGUACAGUUUCAUUGUGUAAAAAAUAGUAGCAGGUGAGUUUUUAUUCAAAGAAGUCUCCACCAGUCGACCUACAUAUAUAUACAUGCCUAAAUGAUCUCUUUGUUUGUAAACACUUCAAUAUUUUGGUACUUUCCAUAGGUGGGUAUUUUAGCAGUUCAGCUAUCUGAAAGAGAAAAUGAGUUGCUUCAGCAGAAAACCGAGGUCAUGACAUUAGCCACUUCACUGAAACCGGUCAGUUCAUCACUUCAUCUUUGUUCGUUGGUAAGAUCUGUAUUCUGUUGACCUUUGUAAACACAUUUUAGUAUCAUUAUCCAUUCGGUGUUCUGUUUACAGUGUACUAUUAAAUGCCAUUUUCCAUGUGUAUUUUUGUUGAUUGCUGUUGGAUUUGGAGGCAAACUAAUUUCCUCCUAAAGUAUGAAUUAUCUGCCAUGUGUAUGACUUUGAAAUCUUCAGUUUGAAAUUAUGAAAGUUUGUUCCGCUCUUACAUUAAGCAAGUGUCUAGAGGAAGUUUUGCUUUUGUUUAGGCUCGAGAAACAAACUAUCACGCAGUAUUGUGAAUUUGAAAUGGUGCUCUUCUCUUCCAAAAAUGCAUAGCAAAAUUUCAGGGACCUGCAGAUAGUUUCUUGAGUAACAAAAUUUAGGAGGCCUGACUAAUUUUAUUAUGAUAGUUCAGACAUGCUGCCAAUGAAAUUCACCCUUUACAGAAAACAGCAAGUUGUUUACUCAUGUGUUGUUCUGUUAUUAGACUGUAGGGAUAAGUUACCUUUUAGUUUUUACUACACCAAGGUUAAAGCUUUGUUUUCUUUUCAUAGCUGCACCAUUUUCUUCUACAAUUUAUAGAUAUUCUUUUUUUUUCGAGAGUACGCCAAAGGCAUACUUUUAUAGAAGAGAGAAAAUACAAUGUACAAGAAGCCUCGAAAUGGAUGCGAACAUCCACUCUCGACCACACCCCAGUACAACCAAAGCAGAUGUACUCUAAACACCCCA
rnacentral:lncRNA from 1 species